GGAAGUAAAAGUCGUAACAAGGUUUCCGUAGGUGAACCUGCGGAAGGAUCAUUAACGAAUAACUAUGGUGUCUUGGUUGUAGCUGGCUCCUCGGAGCAUUGUGCACGCCCGCCAUUUUUAUCUUUCCACCUGUGCACCGACUGUAGGUGUCUGGAUAACCCUCGUCUUCCUCUCCGGAAGGCGGAUGCGAGGAUUGCCCGUGAGGGCUCUCCUCGAAUUUCCAGGCUCCUACGUCUUUUACACACCCCAACAGUAUGAUAUAGAAUGAUAGUCAAUGGGCUUUGACAGCCUAUAUAACACUAUACAACUUUCAGCAACGGAUCUCUUGGCUCUCGCAUCGAUGAAGAACGCAGCGAAAUGCGAUAAGUAAUGUGAAUUGCAGAAUUCAGUGAAUCAUCGAAUCUUUGAACGCACCUUGCGCUCCUUGGUAUUCCGAGGAGCAUGCCUGUUUGAGUGUCAUUAAAUUCUCAACCUCACCAGUUUUCUGAACUGCGUCGAGGCUUGGAUGUGGGGGUUUGUGCAGGCUGCCUCAGCGCGGUCUGCUCCCCUGAAAUGCAUUAGCGAGGUUCAUACUGAGCUUCCGUCUAUUGGUGUGAUAAUUAUCUACGCCGUGGACAGGGUUCAGACUCGCUUCUAACCGUCCCUCGGGACAAUACCCAUGACAAUUUGACCUCAAAUCAGGUAGGACUACCCGCUGAACUUAAGCAUAUCAAUAAGCGGAGGA
rnacentral:rRNA from 1 species